rnacentral:rRNA from 1 species
UACGUAGGGGGCAAGCGUUGUCCGGAAUCAUUGGGCGUAAAGAGCGUGUAGGCGGUCCGGUAAGUCGGCUGUGAAAGUCCAGGGCUCAACCCUGGGAUGCCGGUCGAUACUGCCGGACUAGAGUUCGGAAGAGGCGAGUGGAAUUCCCGGUGUAGCGGUGAAAUGCGCAGAUAUCGGGAAGAACAUCGGUGGCGAAAGCGCUCUACUGGACGGUAUCUGACACUGAGGGACGAAAGCUAGGGGAGCGAAUGGG